rnacentral:rRNA from 1 species
UACGAGGGGAGCUAGCGUUGUUCGGAAUUACUGGGCGUAAAGGGCGCGUAGGUGGCUUGGCAAGUUGGGUGUGAAAGCCCAGGGCUCAACCCUGGAAUUGCACUCAAGACUGCUUUGCUUGAAUUCGGUAGAGGUUGGUGGAAUUCCCAGUGUAGAGGUGAAAUUCGUAGAGAUUGGGAAGAACACCCGUGGCGAAGGCGGCCAACUGGACCGACAUUGACACUGAGGCGCGAAAGCGUGGGGAUCAAACAGG